rnacentral:rRNA from 1 species
UGGAGGGCAAGUCUGGUGCCAGCAGCCGCGGUAAUUCCAGCUCCAAUAGCGUAUAUUAAAGUUGUUGCAGUUAAAAAGCUCGUAGUUGAACUUCGGUAUCAAUAUUUCGGUCUUGCCGUUGGUAUGCACUGUUAUCAUUGAUUUCUCACCUUCUAAAGAACCGUAAUGCCAUUAAUUUGGUGUUACGGGGAAUUAGGACUGUUACCUUGAAAAAAUUAGAGUGUUUAAAGCAGGC